CCUACGGGUGGCUGCAGUAGGGAAUAUUGGUAAUGGGCGAAAGCCUGAACCAGCAACGCCGCGUGUGCGAUGAAGGCCUUCGGGUCGUAAAGCACUUUUCGAAGGGAUGAGGAAGGACAGUACCUUCGGAAUAAGCCUCGGCUAACUACGUGCCAGCAGCCGCGGUAAAACGUAGGAGGCAAGCGUUAUCCGGAUUUACUGGGCGUAAAGCGCGUGCAGGCGGUUUGGAAAGUUGGAUGUGAAAGCUCCCGGCUUAACUGGGAGAGGUCGUUCAAAACUACCAGACUAGAGGGCGAUAGAGGGAGGUGGAAUUCCGGGUGUAGUGGUGAAAUGCGUAGAUAUCCGGAGGAACACCAGUGGCGAAAGCGGCCUUCUGGAUCGUACCUGACGCUCAGACGCGAAAGCUAGGGUAGCAAACGGGAUUAGAUACCCUAGUAGUC
rnacentral:rRNA from 1 species